rnacentral:rRNA from 1 species
UUUCGGGCAUAGUGGCGCACGGGUGCGUAACGCGUGGGAAUCUGCCCCUUGGUUCGGAAUAACUCAGAGAAAUUUGAGCUAAUACCGGAUGACGACGUAAGUCCAAAGAUUUAUCGCCGAGGGAUGAGCCCGCGUAGGAUUAGCUAGUUGGUGGGGUAAAGGCCUACCAAGGCGACGAUCCUUAGCUGGUCUGAGAGGAUGAUCAGCCACACUGGGACUGAGACACGGCCCAGACUCCUACGGGAGGCAGCAGUGGGGAAUAUUGGACAAUGGGCGAAAGCCUGAUCCAGCAAUGCCGCGUGAGUGAUGAAGGCCUUAGGGUUGUAAAGCUCUUUUACCCGGGAUGAUAAUGACAGUACCGGGAGAAUAAGCUCCGGCUAACUCCGUGCCAGCAGCCGCGGUAAUACGGAGGGAGCUAGCGUUGUUCGGAAUUACUGGGCGUAAAGCGCACGUAGGCGGCUUUGUAAGUUAGAGGUGAAAGCCUGGAGCUCAACUCCAGAACUGCCUUUGAUACUGCAUGGCUUGAAUCCAAGAGAGGUGAGUGGAAUUCCGAGUGUAGAGGUGAAAUUCGUAGAUAUUCGGAAGAACACCAGUGGCGAAGGCGGCUCACUGGCUUGGUAUUGACGCUGAGGUGCGAAAGCGCGGGGAGCAAACAGGAUUAGAUACCCUGGUAGUCCACGCCGUAAACGAUGAUAACUAGCUGUCGGGGCACUUGGUGUUUCGGUGGCGCAGCU